UGGGGAAUAUUGGGCAAUGGAGGAAACUCUGACCCAGCGACGCCGCGUGAGCGAAGAAGACCUUCGGGUCGUAAAGCUCUGUCAUUAGGGACGAGAAGAAGACGGUACCUAAUGAGGAAGCCCCGGCAAACUACGUGCCAGCAGCCGCGGUAAUACGUAGGGGGCGAGCGUUGUCCGGAUUUACUGGGCGUAAAGAGUGCGUAGGUGGCUUUGCAAGUCAGAUGUGAAAUACCGGGGCUUAACCCCGGGGCUGCAUCUGAAACUGUAGAGCUAGAGUACAGGAGGGGAAAGCGGAAUUCCUAGUGGAGCGGUGAAAUGCGUAGAGAUUAGGAGGAACACCGGUGGCGAAGGCGGCUUUCUGGACUGCAACUGACACUGAGGCACGAAAGCGUGGGGAGCAAACAGG
rnacentral:rRNA from 1 species